GGGUUGUGAGGUUAAGCGACUAAGCGUACACGGUGGAUGCCCUGGCAGUCAGAGGCGAUGAAGGACGUGCUAAUCUGCGAUAAGCGCCGGUAAGGUGAUAUGAACCGUUAUAACCGGCGAUUUCCGAAUGGGGAAACCCAGUGUGACUCGUCACACUAUCAUUAACUGAAUCCAUAGGUUAAUGAGGCGAACCGGGGGAACUGAAACAUCUAAGUACCCCGAGGAAAAGAAAUCAACCGAGAUUCCCCCAGUAGCGGCGAGCGAACGGGGAGGAGCCCAGAGCCUGAAUCAGCAUGUGUGUUAGUGGAAGCGUCUGGAAAGGCGCGCGAUACAGGGUGACAGCCCCGUACACAAAAGCGCAUAUGCUGUGAGCUCGAUGAGUAGGGCGGGACACGUGGUAUCCUGUCUGAAUAUGGGGGGACCAUCCUCCAAGGCUAAAUACUCCUGACUGACCGAUAGUGAACCAGUACCGUGAGGGAAAGGCGAAAAGAACCCCGGCGAGGGGAGUGAAAAAGAACCUGAAACCGUGUACGUACAAGCAGUGGGAGCACAGGUUUACCUGUGUGACUGCGUACCUUUUGUAUAAUGGGUCAGCGACUUAUAUUCUGUAGCAAGGUUAACCGAAUAGGGGAGCCGGAGGGAAACCGAGUCUUAAUUGGGCGUUAAGUUGCAGGGUAUAGACCCGAAACCCGGUGAUCUAGCCAUGGGCAGGUUGAAGGUUGGGUAACACUAACUGGAGGACCGAACCGACUAAUGUUGAAAAAUUAGCGGAUGACCUGUGGCUGGGGGUGAAAGGCCAAUCAAACCGGGAGAUAGCUGGUUCUCCCCGAAAGCUAUUUAGGUAGCGCCUCGUGAA
rnacentral:rRNA from 1 species